AAUAUAUCGGAACGUGCCCAGUCGUGGGGGAUAACGUAGAGAAAUUUACGCUAAUACCGCAUACGAUCUAAGGAUGAAAGCGGGGGAUCGCAAGACCUCGCGCGAUUGGAGCGGCUGAUAUCAGAUUAGGUUGUUGGUGAGGUAAAAGCUCACCAAGCCGACGAUCUGUAGCUGGUUUGAGAGAACGACCAGCCACACUGGGACUGAGACACGGUCCAGACUCCUACGGGAGGCAGCAGUGGGGAAUUGUUCACAACGGGCGCAAGCCUGAUGACGCAACGCCGCGUGGGGGAUGAAGGCCUUCGGGUCGUAAACCCCUGUCGAACGGGACGAAAGACCCUGGAUCUAAUCAACCAGGGAGUGACGGUACCGUUAAAGGAAGCCACGGCUAACUCUGUGCCAGCAGCCGCGGUAAUACAGAGGUGGCAAGCGUUGUUCGGAAUUACUGGGCGUAAAGCGUGCGUAGGCGGCCUUCUAAGUCAGACGUGAAAUCCCCCGGCUUAACCUGGGAACUGCGUCUGAUACUGGGAGGCUCGAGUAUGGGAGAGGGAUGUAGAAUUCCAGGUGUAGCGGUGAAAUGCGUAGAUAUCUGGAGG
rnacentral:rRNA from 1 species